CCACAAGGAGGGGUGUCACUAGCACGGAGCGCUUUGUGGGAUGUCGCUACCGCCACGCGCUGCCUCAGCCUGCAGGCGCCGCUGAGUACUGCGUCCGCGUGAGAGUCGUAGUCAACUACCCGCGGUGGAAGACAGGGGAGUGGUCUCCCCUGUCGUGUGUCUCCGUCCCUCCACCACACAGCGCCGUGGCCGCCACCACCGCCGCCACCUCCCGCUCCUCCCGACCCUCGUCCGCGGUGUCUACGGGAGACGAGGCGACGCUCCCC